rnacentral:rRNA from 1 species
CCUACGGGGGGCAGCAGUGGGGGAUAUUGCACAAUGGGGGAAACCCUGAUGCAGCGACGCCGCGUGAGUGAAGAAGUAUUUCGGUAUGUAAAGCUCUAUCAGCAGGGAAGAAAAUGACAGUACCUGACCAAGAAGCCCCGGCUAACUACGUGCCAGCAGCCGCGGUAAUACGUAGGGGGCAAGCGUUAUCCGGAUAUACUGGGUGUAAAGGGAGCGUAGACGGUUAUGUAAGUCUGGAGUGAAAGCCCGGGGCCCAACCCCGGGACUGCUUUGGAAACUGUGUAACGGGAGUGCAGGAGGGGCAGGCGGAAUUGCUGGUGUAGCGGUGAAAUGCGUAGAUAUCAGGAGGAACACCGGCGGCGAAGGCGGCCUGCUGGACUGAAACUGACGUUGAGGCUCGAAAGCGUGGGGAGCAAACAGGAUUAGAUACCCUAGUAGUC